AGACGUUCUGCCGGGUGGCAGUCCCAGCGGAGUUUGCGUGUGCGGGCGGGACCGGAUUUCGUCCGUGGGCCCGGGGGCGGCGGGGGCCGGGGAGUGAGGGGCCGGCUGAGCCCACCUCGCUGGGCCCUCCCUGGCGCCCCGCCUUGGGCGGCGGCGAGCGCGCGGGCCGCCAUGUCGUACAUGCUCCCGCACCUGCACAACGGCUGGCAGGUGGACCAGGCCAUCCUCUCGGAGGAGGACCGCGUGGUCGUCAUCCGCUUCGGCCACGACUGGGAUCCUACGUGCAUGAAGAUGGACGAGGUCCUGUACAGCAUCGCCGAGAAGGUGGUGGCAUAAACAUCGGGUGGUGUUCAGAUCCUGCUGCCGGCAGCUCGAGGCUAGGAUGGCUGGAGAUGUGAGGGCCUUUGUCUCAUCACAUCCGAGCACAGCUCAGCAAGAUGCUCUUAGCUAGAAAACAGAUUUUAUGUGUUAAUGUUAAAAAUUUUGCAGUUAUUUAUCUUGUGGAUAUUACAGAAGUGCCUGACUUCAACAAAAUGUAUGAGUUAUACGAUCCAUGUACUGUCAUGUUUUUCUUCAGUUACCAUAGAGGUUGGUGAAUUAGCUACAUGAGCAUUAGACCAUUCUCCAAAAGUGGAGCCUCCUACUCGGAACAAGCACAUCAUGAUUGACUUGGGGACUGGCAACAACAACAAGAUUAACUGGGCCAUGGAGGACAAGCAGGAGAUGGUGGACAUCAUCGAGACGGUGUACCGCGGGGCCCGCAAAGGCCGCGGCCUGGUGGUGUCCCCCAAGGACUACUCCACCAAGUACCGCUACUGAGGCGCCCUCAGUCUGCGCGGAUAAAUGUCGUGGAGCCCUUUUUGUAUGGAAACGUUUUAAGCUAUUUAAAGCCUUUGGAAAAUACAGGAAGCUCCAGGGCUGGAGCACCUCUGAGAUGGAAUUGAUAACAUGGUCUUAACUCACCGAAAUAAACAAGCACGUGGUGAGAGGAGCAGGCCUACUUGUUUGUUCUCAGGAAACUUAAUGAAUAGAUUACUGAUUUUCCUAGUCAAAGUUAAUUCUUACCCUUGGAGUAAAACGAAGGUGUUUAUCCUGUGAGCCUGUGCGUUUUGCAUACUGGGUUGGUUUGCUGGGGCUGCGGUGACAGCAUAUGCCGCGAGCUGGGCUUUAACAGAGAUGUGUGCUCUCACAGCUUUGCAGGCGGGGGUCUGAGAUCAGGGUGUCGCGGGUGGGGGGUCACUGCUGAGGCCGUGAGGGGAAUCUGCUCAGGCCUGUCCCUGGCUUCUGGGGGCUGCUGGUGGUAUUUUCAGUUCCUUGGUGUGUGGAUACUUCGCCCCAUCUCUGCCUUCACCUGUGUCCUCCCUGUGUGGGUGCUGGUGUCCAAAAUUUCCCCUUUUCGUAGUGACACCAGCUGUGUUGGAUUGGGGCCCACCCUGCUCCAGCAUGGCCUAAUCUUAACUAAUUACAUUUGCAAGGAUCUUAUGUCCACAAAAGUCACAGUCUGAGGUGCUGGGGGUUAGGACUUCAAUAUAUAAAUUUUGCGGUUACACAAUUCAAUCCAUGACAGAAUCCAAAGGUUUACUCUGGUUAUAAAAACAGUACAAUAAAAUAUUGUUUAUAGCCUUCCCUGUAAGGAAUAGGAGAGCUAUUUUUUAUUCUUCCCAAGAUUGUAUUUGAUGUAAACAUAUUUUCUGUAGAAGCCAUGGCCCUUCAGUUCAUAUAGUUAGAAAAUUUCCUUAUUGGCCAGGCACGGUGGCUCACACCUGUAAUCCCAGCACUUUGGGAGGCCGAGGUGGGCAGAUCACGAAGUCAGGUGUUCGAGACCAGCCUGGCCAACAUGGUGAAAUCCCGUCUCUACUAAAAAUACAAAAAUUAGCUGGGCAUGGUGGCGCGUGCCUGUAAUCCCAGCUACUUGGAAGGCUGAGGCAGGAGAAUUGCUUGAACCCGGGAGGUGGAGGUUUCAGUGAGCCGAGAUCACACCACUGCACUCCAGCCUGGGCAACAGAGCAAGACUCCGUCUCAAAAAAAGAAAAGAAAAUGUCCUUAUUACAGUCUCAGGUUUCUCUUGCCCUCUGUCAUCCUAGCAGUGUGGAUGGUUGGUUGGGAUCUUCGUGUCCCGUCUCAGCACACUCGAGCUCUGAAGUGAAAGUGAGGAAGGGCAGGGAUGGGGGCACUUGAGCACACCGUGGGCCCUCUGACCUCAGACCCAGGCUCUGCCCCACCAAGUGACCUUGGGCAGGGUACCUUCUCUGAGCUUUGUUUCCUCCUUGGUAAAGGCGGAUAAUAGUGUCUGCCCUGCACACAGAUGUGGACGCAGAAGCACGUGGUGCCUGCCGGGCACAGGAGUGGUGCACAGGGCUCGCUGCUGUCGGGAGAUUGAUUGCUGUUGUGGAAACGGGAGGGUACUUACAGAAUGAAGCACAUUUUUUACAUACAGUACAAAUGAGUGUGUGCUUUUUAAAUGGAUUUAAAAUUCAAAUGCAAAUCUGCAGUUUAAUCUCCCAAGUGCUGAUUUUUCUAUGUAUAAAGUAGGAGAGUGCAACAGCGUAUCGGAAUGAGGGGCUAGGGAGAACGUGUAUGUGACCUCGAGUACCUGGCAUGUAACAGACACUCAGUAUUACACUCCUGCUAUUUCUCCAGAGCAGGUGAAACAGACGGCCAGGAAGCACACGAAGAGACACUCAGCAUCACUGCUUGUUAAGGAAGGUGCAAAUCAAAACCACAGUGAGACGCCACUUCACACCUACAAGUUCGGCUAGAUACAAAAAGAUCGCAACAAGCGUUUGCAAGGAUGUGGAGAAAUUGGAGCCCUCACACACUGCUGGUGGCAAAGUGGUAACACAGGCAGGCAGGUCGUCAAAAAGUUAAACAUGGGCCGGGUGCAGGUGUCUCAAGCCUGUAAUCCCAGCACUUUGGAAGGCUGAGACAGGCAGAUUGCUUGAGCCCAGGAGUUCACGACCAGCCUGGGCAACCUGGUGAGACCCUGUCUCUACAAAAAAUACAGAACAAUUAGCUGGGCAUGGUGGUGCGUGCCUGUGGGCCCAGCUACUCGGCGGGCUGAGGCAGGAGGAUCACUUAAGCCCCAGAGGUCAAGGCUGCAGUAAGCCAUGGUUGUGCCACUGCACUCCAGCCUGGGCAACUGAGCAAGACCCUGUCUCAAAAAAAUAAAAAAAGAUAAACAUGGUGUUACCAUUUGACCCAGCAGUUUCAUACCCAGGAGAAUUGAACGCAUAUGUCCACAUAGAAACUCGUACACAGAAGCCAAAAUGUGGAAACCCACGUGUCCAUCAACAGAUGAACGGUUAAACAAAAUGUCCAUCCAUAGAACGGAAUAUUAUUCAGUCAUAAACAGAAUGAAGUACUGUAAGUGAAAAGCCAGUUACUACAUAUUGUGUGAUUCCAUUUAUACGGAAUUUCUAGAAUAGGCACAUCCAUAGAGACGGAUUAGUGGUUGCUUAAGACUGGGAGGGAGGGGGAAAUAGGAGGUGACAGCUAAUGGGCAGUUUUAUUUUUGAUGUAAUGAAAAUGUGCUUACAUAAGCCGAGCAGGCAUAAACAGAAAAAGUGCCCUAAGAUUGUGAUAAUGGUACAAUUCUGUCAAUUGCAUAAUUGGUGGAUGAUGUGUGAAUUAUGUCUCUUAGGAUAACAGCUUUACUGGCGUUACCAGAAAAAGAUAAAAUAAUUACAUUCCA